rnacentral:rRNA from 1 species
CAGCCGCCGCGGGAAUACGUAGGGUGCGAGCGUCAAUCGGAAUUACUGGGCGUAAAGCGUGCGCAGGCGGUUUUGUAAGACAGGCGUGAAAUCCCCGGGCUCAACCUGGGAAUGGCGCUUGUGACUGCAAAGCUAGAGUGCGGCAGAGGGGGAUGGAAUUCCACGUGUAGCAGUGAAAUGCGUAGAUAUGCGGAGGAACACCGAUGGCGAAGGCAAUCCCCUGGGCCUGCACUGACGCUCAUGCACGAAAGCGUGGGGAGCAAACAGGAUUAGAUACCCGCGUAGUCCCUGUCUCUUAUAC